rnacentral:rRNA from 1 species
UCGAGGGCAYGCCUGCCUGGGCGUCAUGCA